GGCUUCUGCUCAUUGUGUAGGGCAAAGGACAGGGCUUUCCGCUGUCCAGGGCCCUGGCCUAGGCGGGGAGGGGAGCUGAGGUCACUGGGUACAGCUUGUGCGUCCACAGAGCUUACAGCCUGGUUGGGGAGGGAGAUGGCCAGGCUCAGAGUUGAAGAUGACCUAGAUCAUGCGUCAACAAACUAUGGCCUGAGGGCCAAAGCCAGCGCACCACCCGUUUUUGUACAGCCCAUGGGUUAAGAAGAGUUUUCAAAAUUUUAAACAGCAGUCUCCCCUUAUCCAUGGUUUCACCUUCUGUGGUUUCAGUUACUUGCAGUCAACCAUGGCCCAAAAAUAGCUACGAUCAGUGACCAUGGACUCAUAAGGCUUUUGUUUAAGAAUUGCCUAAGAUGUUCUUCAGAUCCUGAAUUCCAGCAGGAAAGCUAAUGCCAACCAGUUUGAAAACAACCACAGAGGAAUCGAAUCAGCACGAGAAUGCAGUUUCUUCAUUUCCCUGUCCCAUGACUUUACUCUGCACUCUUUGACCAAUCAAUAAUCCUGGACCUUGGCCCACUUCAAACCCCUUGAAAUCUCUAGCUCCAACUCCCUGGAGGGGUGGAUUUGAGGUUUCCUCCUGUUUCCUUGUUUGGCUGCCGUAUGAUUAUUAAACUCUUUCUUUGCUGCAAUCCCUGUUGCCUUGGUUUAUUGACUUACUGUGCAUCGGGCAAACAAACCUAUUAUGAUGACAUCAUGACGCAAUAUCCACCUCAAAGGACUGCUGGGAGCCUCAAAAAUUUACAAAUUUGUGAAUUGUAUGUGACUGUCUGAUGCCGGGGAGCAGCAAGGAGCUUUUGGUGAUUGGAGUGCGAAUAUCACUUAGGAAGACUAGACAGCACUUCAGCACUACACUUCGAGGGCAUUUUAAACAGUGAAAUCAUCAACAAAAAGCACAAAAAUGCAUAAGUGUGGCACCAAAUAGACUGCAAGAAGGACACUUGUUUACGGUUUGAGAGCUGAAACCAGGAGACAGAGUGUUAUCUUAUUUGACUCAAAUUUUUCACCACUCUGAGCAGGUCCGUGAAUGGCCACAAAACUGCUGCGAGAUUUCAUUUUGGGGCUACAAAGGAAUUUUUGCAAGUAGAUGAAUUGGCAAACAUGGAGUCUGUGAAUGAUGAGGAUGGACUGUGUAUGUUGCAUUUGUGGAGAGGACAACUUCAUUGCAGAGGAUGUGUAAAGGGAGCACAGUGCCUAAAGUCUUCAUUAAGGUGUAGGGGACUGAUGUAUCCCCUCCCGAGGGCCCACUGUGCUCAAGAGAAGCAGAGAAUACGCCGGGAGCGGUGGCUCACGCCUGUAAUCCCAGCACUUUGGGAGGCUGAGGCAGGUGGAUCACGAGGUCAGGAGAUUAAGACCAUUCUGGCCAACAUGGUGAAACCCCAUCUCUACUAAAAAUACAAAAAUUAGCUGGGCAUGGUGGCCUGCGUCUGUAGUCCCAGCUACUCAGGAGGCUGAGGCAGGAGAAUCGCUUGAACCUGGGAGGCAGAGGUUGCAGUGAGCCGAGAUCACACCACUGCACUCCAGCCUGGGUGACAGAGCAAAGCUCUUAUCUCAAAAAAAAAAAAAAAAAAAAAGAGAGAGAGAAGCAGAGAAUAAAGGAGGCCAGUGGCCAUCAAAAGGGAGUGGCAGGUAGGUGAGAGAGGACAUAGGGAGGGAGGUGGGAUUGAGAGGGAGGGCAGUGGGUGUUGGGGGGGAGGGUCCCUCACGGUUUAGCUGGGUCCCAGAACUCCCUCCCCCUGAACACCUCGUGGGUGGGUGCCUCUUCUCUGCUCACUUUUGGCUGGACUUCUGCUGAUCUGUGAAACACAGAGAGACUCUCCUCUCUGGCUGUCUCCCAGUUGCGGGGAACCUUUUGAUUUCUUAACUAUUCCCCUGGGAUCCAUUCCUCUAUUUGCUCAUUUUCUAAUACUCCCUCUUCAUCACCGUGUUACUGGGCCACUGACUCCCACUCCAAAGGCCGACCAGGCCCGGAAAGCUCAUAAAGUGAGUCAGCCUAAGAGAAGGGAUCCGAGUCCAGGUCACUUGGAGCUGAUGACGGCAGCGAACCUGGCUAAGCCAGCGUGUGCAAGAUGCUGGCGCUGCUGGAAACAUCGCCUGGAGGAGCGGCCCUCUCAUCACCCGGAACAGACAGGGGUGUCUGCAGAGGUUUCCCAACCUGUCAUCAUUACUCUAGGGUCUUCUUAGAAGGACAACAAACCCUGUACCUGCAUGGCGGAGUGUUAGGAUAUCUGGUACCAUGUCACUCCCCUGAGCUCAGCCAGACUGCCUGAGGGUUGUGCCCCACUCCACCAUUUACUGCUUGUGCCUCAGUUUCCUGAUCUGUAAAAUGGAAGUUCUAAUAGUAUCCACCUCAUAGGGUUGUUAUGAGGACUGCACUACAUAUAUACAUAUAGCACUGAGAACAGUGCCUGCACAGAGUAAGCUCUACAGAACACUGGCUUUUAUUAUUGUGAUUAUUAUUGCUCGUAUUAUUACUACUCUUCUCAUCUCUAAAGAAUGGAAUGGGGCUGAACGAUUUCAAAGGCCUUUCUUUCCCUUCCUGUUCUGUUACUGGAGAUGCUCCCUUGCUGUGUGGCCUUGGGCAAGGCCCUUGUCCUCUCUGGGCCGCAAGUUCUUAUCUUCUAAGUGAGGUGCUGGGAGUCAAGCCCUGAGAGCCUGAAUCUAUGAAAUAAGGAUAAGAUGACUCCUAGAGUGGGGUUCAUUUGUGACUGCAGCCUCUCCUGGGGAUGCUGAAUUUCCUUAUUUUAAGAAUUUACUCAGAAUUUAAUCCAAUUCCUCUCCCCUUUUUGUCUAUUGUAACUGCUUAUUUCAUCUCAGCUGAGAUAAAUGGUUAAGUAAUCAACAUAACAGGGUAUAUUUGUAGUGUGUUUUUAAAGCUCCCAUUCACUGAACCAACCACCUUCCUAAGCCUGGAUUAAUUUAUUCUAUCAUCAUUACAACCCUGGGAGGGAGAUUAUUGUCCCUGUGUUAGAGAUGAGGAAAUUGAAGCACAGAGAAAAGUUAAGCAACUUGCCCAAGGACACACAAACAGUAAAUAGUAAAUCCAGAUUUAAACCAGGAACCUUGACUCCAGAUUCUGUAAGCUUUACCCUGACACUAUACCAGCGGUUGGCCUUGAGCUUAAUUUCUAAUUCUACGAUGGAAACGCUGAGGUGGGAGGCAGGUCUUUACUCCAGACCAGACUGAUGACUGGCUGAACCAGGGAAGAGGCAAAAGCACCUCUCCAUAAGACAUGCUCACCAGUACAUGCCAGUUUACCCUUGCCAGUAACUCAGAAGUUACUGCCUCUUUCCAUGGCAUUGACAGAUCCACCCCUUUUCUAGAAAUUUCUGAAUAGCCCGCCUCUUAAUUUGCAUGUAAUUAAAAUGGGUAUAAAUAUGACUGAAACACUGCCCCGAGCUCCUAUUCUCAACACACUGCCUGUGGGGUAGCCCUGCUCUGCAGGAGGAGUCACGGAGCUGUAACACUGCUGACUCAAUAAAGCUGUUUU
rnacentral:lncRNA from 1 species